CAAAUCUUAUUUGAGCACCUGU
rnacentral:miRNA from 2 species